rnacentral:rRNA from 1 species
AUUGAACGCUGGCGGCAGGCCUAACACAUGCAAGUCGAACGGUAACAGGAAGAAGCUUGCUUCUUUGCUGACGAGUGGCGGGCGGGUGAGUCAUGUCUGGGAAACUGCCUGAUGUAGGGGGAUAACUACUGGAAACGGUAGCUACUACCGCAUAACGUCUCAAGACCAAAAAGGGGGACCUUGUGGCCGCGGGCCAUCGGGUGUGCCCAGGUGGGAUGAGCUAGUAGGUGGGGUAACGGCUCACCUAGGCGACGAGCCCUAGCUGGUGUGAGAGAAGGACCAGCGACCCUGGAACUGAGACACGGACAAGACUCCUACGGGAGGCAGCAGUGGGGAAUAGUGGACAACGGGCGCAAGCAUGAUGCAGCCAUGCCGAGUGUAUGAAGAAGGCCUUCGGGUUGUAAAGUACGUUCAGCGGGGAGGAAGGGAGUAAAGUUAAGACCUUGGCUGAUUGACGUUACCCGCAGAAGAAGCACCGGCUAACUACGUG